rnacentral:rRNA from 1 species
CCUACGGGAGGCAGCAGUGGGGAAUAUUGGACAAUGGGCGAAAGCCUGAUCCAGCAAUGCCGCGUGAGUGAUGAAGGCCUUCGGGUCGUAAAGCUCUUUUACCAGGGAUGAUAAUGACAGUACCUGGAGAAUAAGCUCCGGCUAACUCCGUGCCAGCAGCCGCGGUAAUACGGAGGGAGCUAGCGUUGUUCGGAAUUACUGGGCGUAAAGAGUACGUAGGCGGUUAUUCAAGUCAGAGGUGAAAGCCCGGGGCUCAACCCCGGAACUGCCUUUGAAACUAGAUAACUAGAGUCUUGGAGAGGUUAGUGGAAUUCCGAGUGUAGAGGUGAAAUUCGUAGAUAUUCGGAAGAACACCAGUGGCGAAGGCGACUAACUGGACAAGUACUGACGCUGAGGUACGAAAGCGUGGGGAGCAAACAGGAUUAGAUACCCUGGUAGUCCACGCCGUAAACGAUGAUAACUAGUUGUUCGGUCACUUGGUGACUGAGUGACGCAGCUAACGCAUUAAGUUAUCCGCCUGGGGAGUACGGUCGCAAGAUUAAAACUCAAAAGUAUAAGUAGACGNGAGAGNGCGACGACGACACGACGGAGGUAGAG